rnacentral:rRNA from 1 species
CUGCUGCCUCCCGUAGGAGUUUGGACCGUGUCUCAGUUCCAAUGUGGGGGACCUUCCUCUCAGAACCCCUAUCCAUCGUCGUCUUGGUGGGCCGUUACCCCGCCAACUAACUAAUGGAACGCAUCCCCAUCGAUAACCGAAAUUCUUUAAUAUCAAGAUCAUGCGACCUUGAUAUCCUAUCGGAUAUUAAUCUUUCUUUCGAAAGGCUAUCCCCGAGUUAUCGGCAGGUUGGAUACGUGUUACUCACCUGUGCGCCGGUCGCCA